UACGGAGGAUCCGAGCGUUAUCCGGAUUUAUUGGGUUUAAAGGGUGCGUAGGUGGCCUGUUAAGUCAGGGGUGAAAGACGGUAGCUCAACUAUCGCAGUGCCCUUGAUACUGAUGGGCUUGAAUGAACUAGAGGUAGGCGGAAUGUGACAAGUAGCGGUGAAAUGCAUAGAUAUGUCACAGAACACCAAUUGCGAAGGCAGCUUACUAUGGUUUAAUUGACGCUGAGGCACGAAAGCGUGGGGACCAAACAGG
rnacentral:rRNA from 1 species